rnacentral:lncRNA from 1 species
GUCCGUCUAUCUAUCCGUCUAUCCUUCUGUCCAGCGUAAACAUGUCGCACCGUAACUUAAGAACAUCUUAUCUAGUUUUCAUGAAACUUAACAAAGUUAUUUUUUGAAAUGGUCAAACGGUCUGUAAACCUUUUAGUGAAAAUCAAAUUAAAUCUUUUUGAGUUACAGAACUUUGUAAGUAAAACAGGAGUGUGUUUUUUUUUAACAUGUCGCGCC